CGAGAGCUGACACGGGGCGGAGAGCGCUCGGCCGCGGCACAGAGCGGGAAAAGCGCGUCGGGAGCGGGACGAGGACGGGCCGCGCGAGUGUAGACGGAGCGCCAAGCGCCCGGAGCGGCUCCCCUUUGUUGUAUUUGCUCGCGUCAGACAAUGGAGGUGUGCGGGCCGAGGCAGCGGAAACAGUAGUUUGUGUUUAGCGGGCGGCCGGAGAGAGAGAGAGAGAGACACAGAGAGAGAGAGGGAGAGAGAGAGAGAGAGAGAGAGAGAGGGGGAGAGAGAGAGACAGCGGCGGCAGCAGCGGCAGCCCUCCCGGGCCGAUGGAGAGAGACGGAGGCCUGCGCGAGUGUUUUUCCACGGAGGAGGCAAGAGAAAAAAGACAAGGCCCCGCUGACAUGCGAUAGAUAGGGACCCGACCCGCUCCGCUCCGCCCGUCCCCACCCACCACCACCACCCGCACCGCCCAGCUCGGCGUUUCAACAGCCUCGCUCCCGUCUUUUGCUCCGUUCGUCUCCCGCAAGCCGUUUGAGACGCAGAUUCUCAACUUGAAGAAAUCUGUUUUUGUUGGAGGAAGACUGCCAUUCCCCUUUUCCCCCCCGUUCCCCUGUUUGGAUCUGCAGUCAGGCAGGGAGCGAUUGCCUCCGACCUGAAGCUGAGCUGACUGAAGGAUUACGUCAGGGGACAAGCAAGGAACUGAAGCAACAAUUCAUCCUUCACUGAAACAACUGAAACACUCAACUUCAUAAGACCUCUGACAAAAACAGCAACAACAACACACAUUUGUGGAACCACAUACUGUUGUGGAAAAAUGACGCUUUAAAAAAACACUAUUUUUUUGCAUAUUAAUAUUUAGCAUAUUGCGUAUUUAUAACACUUUCAACUACAGAGGCACAUGAUGGCUUUGGUCUUUUAAAUGAAGAGCCAAAGUAGUAGGUAUUAAUUGUUGAGAAAAUUAAAGAUAAGCUUUAGUGGAUUUUAGUUGUUUGGGAGUAUUUGGGAGUAUUUAAUACAACCCAAAGGGA